UUGUGGAGGAGGACGCCGAAGGUGGGGCUAAUGACUGGGGUGAAGUCGUAACAAGGUAGCCGUACCGGAAGGUGCGGCUGGAUCACCUCCUAACAGGGAGACAACAAAAUGUUAAAUAUUAAUUUUGUCACCUUAGGUCGAUCGGUAUCUCACAUUCUUAAUUUAUUAAGAAUUUUAUUUCCUAAGUUUUUUCUAGGUCACACCCAUUAUUUUCCCUGGGCCAUUAUCUCAGGUGGUUAGAGCGCACCCCUGAUAAGGGUGAGGUCCCUGGUUCAAGUCCAGGAUGGCCCAUAUCUCUAUGUUGGGGGUAUAGCUCAGUUGGUAGAGCGCCUGCUUUGCAAGCAGGAUGUCAGCGGUUCGAGUCCGCUUACCUCCACUGAUUACCACCUCUUCCAUAAUUUAAAGAAGGGAAAUUUUUGAGUUGUGAUCAAAUUCUGAACGAAUCUAGCUUCCUAAUAAUUCUAUUAAGAUGCUGGACUCAUUGAAUUAAUUUUCAUUGUUUUCAGAGAACCUUGACAACUGCAUAGAUUAUUUUUAAAGACAAUAAGCAUCUUUAAUGAUGCAGAUUUAUUAUUUGUGCGAAUGCAUUAAAUAACAAUUCUAUUAAGCUGAUGCUUCAAAUUUUUGAAGUUAUGGUCAAGCUACAA
rnacentral:misc_RNA from 1 species